UGCAAUGUCGGUUCCCUUAAGCUUUCGAUCCAACCCGUGUAGCGAGCUUUAGGUCAAUGACUCCCAAACUACUAAGGCUUUAGGGCAUUAGGUGUAGAACACCCCUAAGGACUUAUUAACUCAAGCUGAAAAGGCUACGAAACCAACUAACCACCCUUCCUCAUGCCAAAACUCUACUGUUUGUCUCGAGAAUCACUGCUGAUUAGGCAGGACUGGCCCGGAUACUAGCAAAGCUUAGGGUGAGGCAAUUAUUACAUUAUAACACAAACUAACUUUAUUUUAUAAAGAACAAAAAUUCAAACACACUUAUACAAAAAGUAAGUAUUUCAAUCUCACUUCCCACAAACCAUGCUGAUGUGAUGUGCAAAUUUCAAAGUAUAAUUCAUGAAUUAGUGUCUAAGCAACAAUAAAUAGAAAAGACUACUAUGGGAUUGAUCUUCACCAUGUCCAUUUGUUCUAACGUUUAAAAUAAUCUAUGGAUAUUAACUUAAAAACAAAAAUUCUAGACAAGAUCCAGAAAAUAAAAAUCUAAAUUUUUAGUUUCCCACCCCCAAACUUAAAUCACACAUUGUCCUCAAGGUGUGGAAAAUAAACAAAAGAAACAAGAGCAGACCAAAUAACUAAAUCCUAGAAAAUGGAAAUCAAAAAUAAAGAAAAUACUCUAGGAAAAGAAAUUAGGAAAACAAAAGAGAAUAACAAUAAAAUAAAAUAAGACAGAAAAUGAGAAAAACAAUAAAAGAAAAUAAAUAGGAAAGAAAAUAUCCGGAAAUUAGGCACCUUGGGGAUUUGAAGUCAAGACUUGGGAGCGGGGAUCUUGCGACGACAAGCUGACCAACUAGCACAAGUCACGCUUGUGUCAUGUUUGAGCAACAGAUACAAUAUAAUGGGGUAGUGGCUGCGGUGUCAGUUCCUUUUCACACAUUGAGCUGUCCACUCCAUCUCCUCUACUGCUUCGUCAUUUCUCUCAAACCUAAAGUCCCUCUCUUCUUCUGUCAUAACCGAAACCAGCAGCUCAUUCUUUUUUUUUCUUUUUCUUUUUUUUUUCGCAAAAACCCAAAGCCAGCUCUCAUUUCCUCACCAUCCUCCAUAACUCCGUAAGAGCAGCUCCAGCAAGGAGCUGAGCCCAAGACUGGGGGGAGAAAAAAACAAAAAUCUGUUUCCAGCGAGGAGUCCAGGCCCGAGCGCAAGGUGGGACCCAGCAACCUGGGCUGGCCUGAGGGCAAGGUUGGCCCGAGCUCUAGCCCUCGUUUUGGUGCUGACGUCAUCGCUACAGUGCCACAGUGAUGCUACAGUGACGCUACAGUACCACUAAAAGUCCACGUGUCGCACUCUGGGCUCUCCGAUCAGAUUUUUUUCUCCAAUCCAACGGC
rnacentral:lncRNA from 1 species